rnacentral:rRNA from 1 species
AGUGAACGCUGGCGGUAGGCCUAACACAUGCAAGUCGAACGGCAGCACAGUAAGAGCUUGCUCUUACGGGUGGCGAGUGGCGGACGGGUGAGGAAUACAUCGGAAUCUACUUUUUCGUGGGGGAUAACGUAGGGAAACUUACGCUAAUACCGCAUACGACCUACGGGUGAAAGCAGGGGAUCUUCGGACCUUGCGCGAUUGAAUGAGCCGAUGUCGGAUUAGCUAGUUGGCGGGGUAAAGGCCCACCAAGGGGACGAUCCGUAGCUGGACGGAGAGGAGGAUAGGCGACAUGGGAAGUGAGCCGGGGUCCAGGCUACUGAGAGAGGGAGCAGAGGGGAAUAUGGGACAAUGGGGGCAAGCCUGAUCCAACGAUACCGCGUGGGAUAAGAAGGCCUUGGGGGUGUAAAGCCCUUUUUUGGGGAAAGAAAAGCAGCAGGUUAAGACCACGCUGGAGUGACGGUACCCAAAGAAGAAGCACCGGCUAACUUCGUG